rnacentral:misc_RNA from 1 species
UCAUACUUUCUGAUUCGCCUCCAAAACCACUGAGCUCUCUGUAGAGCUUGGAUGCUAAGUCUUCAAGUAUAUGCACCGUCAGAAAAGCUGAAACCUGUGCAUUUCUUUGGCGAUACUAGUAAUGAUAGAUUAUUAAUCUUAUAGGUCAUUAAAUCUUAUAGUUUCUCACCAACUCAUGCAAAAGUCUAGACAUAUAAACCCCAAAAAAUCAUAGGAAGUUCAUGGCUGAAAUGUUAGGAAAAGGCUGAAAUGACAUUGAGUAAAUCUAUGAAAGUCAGGCUUCAAUGUCAUGCUUAUAAGCAUUGCCGUCCACAUCUCUGGGGCCAACUUUACUGCUUGGCAUUGAUAUGGAAACCCAUUAUUACCAUCUUCAUGAACAUUGGAUGGCCCUCAGACUUAAAUGCCUCUCUUGGUUCAUGUUUCUCAUCUAAAAUGCAACUGACAACUUCAUCUUGUAAAAUAACAUCAGCCACCUUAAU